UGCCCCGUGGUCCAGUUGGAAUGGAUGGCUGGCUUUGACCCAGCAGACUCAGGUUCAAUCCCUGACGGGGCAGCCA
rnacentral:tRNA from 1 species